AUUGAACGCUGGCGGCAGGCCUAACACAUGCAAGUCGAACGGUAACAGGAAGCAGCUUGCUGCUUCGCUGACGAGUGGCGGACGGGUGAGUAAUGUCUGGGAAGCUGCCUGAUGGAGGGGGAUAACUACUGGAAACGGUAGCUAAUACCGCAUAAUGUCGCAAGACCAAAGAGGGGGACCUUCGGGCCUCUUGCCAUCGGAUGUGCCCAGAUGGGAUUAGCUUGUUGGUGGGGUAACGGCUCACCAAGGCGACGAUCCCUAGCUGGUCUGAGAGGAUGACCAGCCACACUGGAACUGAGACACGGUCCAGACUCCUACGGGAGGCAGCAGUGGGGAAUAUUGCACAAUGGGCGCAAGCCUGAUGCAGCCAUGCUGCGUGUAUGAAGAAGGCCUUCGGGUUGUAAAGUACUUUCAGCGGGGAGGAAGGGAGUAAAGUUAAUACCUUUGCUCAUUGACGUUACCCGCAGAAGAAGCACCGGCUAACUCCGUG
rnacentral:rRNA from 1 species